rnacentral:rRNA from 1 species
GACAGAGGGGGCAAGCGUUGCUCGGAAUCACUGGGCGUAAAGGGCGCGUAGGCGGCGUGACAAGUCACUUGUGAAAUCUCUGAGCUUAACUCAGAACGGCCAAGUGAAACUGUUGUGCUAGAGUGCAGAAGGGGCAAUCGGAAUUCUUGGUGUAGCGGUGAAAUGCGCAGAUAUCAAGAGGAACACCUGAGGUGAAGACGGGUUGCUGGGCUGACACUGACGCUGAUGCGCGAAAGCCAGGGGAGCAAACGGG